GUCCGCGUAACUCAGUGGUAGAGUGUGAGAUUGCAACAUCUGAGGUGCUGAUUUUGCAAUAUCUCGAAGCCCCGUGUUCGAACCACGGCGCGGACU
rfam:Gymnopus luxurians FD-317 M1 unplaced genomic scaffold GYMLTscaffold_100, whole genome shotgun sequence.